AUUGAACGCUGGCGGCAUGCCUUACACAUGCAAGUCGAACGGUAACAGGUCUUCGGAUGCUAACGAGUGGCGAACGGGUGAGUAAUACAUCGGAACGUGCCCGAUCGUGGGGGAUAACGAGGCGAAAGCUUUGCUAAUACCGCAUACGAUCUACGGAUGAAAGCGGGGGAUCUUCGGACCUCGCGCGGACGGAGCGGCCGAUGGCAGAUUAGAUAGUUGGUGGGAUAAAAGCUUACCAAGCCGACGAGCUGUAGCUGGUCUGAGAGGAUGAUCAGCCACACUGGGACUGAGACACGGCCCAGACUCCUACGGGAGGCAGCAGUGGGGAAUGUUGGACAAUGGGCGAAAGCCUGAUCCAGCCAUGCCGCGUGCAGGAUGAAGGCCUUUGGGUUGUAAACUGCUUUUGUACGGAACGAAAAGCCUCUUUCUAAUAAAGAGGGGUCAUGACGGUACCGGAAGAAUAAGCACCGACUAACUACGUG
rnacentral:rRNA from 1 species